GCUGGGAUAGCUCAGUCAGUAGAGUACAAGACUCUAGAUCUCAGGGUUGUGGGAUCAAGCCCCACACUGGGCA